rnacentral:ncRNA from 1 species
AUGGUUGUUCUUAGUUUGUGGAACAAUUUUUCUCAUUGAUAUGUUAACAAAUGAGACCUCAUCCUGCUAACUAGCUACAUGGAGAUUCCCCUUCAUGACCAAGUUCUUAGAGGGGAUAUGGUCAUUUAAGCCAUGGAAGUUUGAGGCAAUAAUAGGUUUGUGA